UUAGAAAACAUUGGGGGUAGGGGGGGAAGGCUAUUUUACUUCUACUUAGCAAAGGAUCAAAAUAAACAUGUUUGCAAUGUCUCUGCAACAAAAUUC